rnacentral:lncRNA from 1 species
AGGAAAAUGAAGUCAUGCUAGAUUCCACAUCACUUUUUUGUUCCAGGAUGUACUUCCCUAAAAAGUGUGCAAUUCAGCACAUAGAUAUUUGAGGCUGGGUGUGGUGGCUCAUGCCAUGGGAGGACUGCUGGAGCACAGGAGUUCGGGACUAGCCUGGGCAGCACAGCGAGAUCCCAUUUCUACAAAAAACAGCAACAAAAAUUACGCAGGCAUGGUGGCACGCAUCUGUAGUCCUAGUUACUCUGGAGGCUGUGUUCCCAGAAAGCAGCCUUCAGUUGGGGGAAUCUGGAUGGGCACUGAUGGCCUCUGUUACCAUCCUGCCUGGUAUGGCGGAUCCACGGC